GCCCUAGGAGAUGAGGGGGGCGGUCAGUGCAAAGAAGGGGAAACAGACCUAAAAUAAAUGUAAAUCUGGAGGCAGCCCCUUUCCUAAACUGAACUUCCAGGGAUAAAUGCACUGUAUAAACCUACAGUUUUUGGACUGAACAUGUUUGCUUGUAGACCAACACAGGGGAAGAAUUUUUAACAAGACGAUCCUCUGACCAGUUUCUUCAAAGCUGAAAAAGCAAAAAGCUGAUUUAUAUUCUAAUCAAUUUAUACACAUUUAAUGCAAUAAAUAAUGCAACACAGCGGAGAAAAAGGCAGGCAGCUUGUGCCCUAGGGAUCUAUCGCUCGGCCGGGCUGGUGCCGUCAGGAGCCCAGACAGGGAAGGACGCGCUUUGCUGGCAGCUGGGGAGGUGCAGGAGCCUGGCGGAGGGACGUGUGAGGGGCGGGGAAGAGCCACCGCCCAGCAGAGGCCCAGAAACGUCAGCCGGGGACGGGAAGCAGCCUGCCGUGACCAGGGAGGUGCCGGCAGCAGACGCCACGGCCCUGACUCAACGGCAAGGGAACGGUCAUCGGCCACUCGGUCAUGGAUGAAGCCGCCCCGACGAUGGGGAGGGUGCGGGGGACGCAGGCCUCCCGCCCUCCUGGCGGCGGGAGCCACACGGCAGCAACACGGCCACGGGCGCUCCAGGCUCCCUGCGGGGGCUGUGUCAGUUCCGGUCACAAGGAAGAACACGACUCAAUUUUGGUUCUUGACAAAUUCACCAUCUAGACGUGAAGACCGACACAGGAGGCACACAUUUCACCGCGACACCGGCAGCCCUAAGGCAGGGGACACACGGGGACCAGGAGGUUCGUGGCGGAGACAGACGGGAAGUCACCCAGAGUCUGGACGACACCCGCAGAUGCUACGGAGUCUGCAGAGCAUAUGCAAGCAAACCAAUUUCCACUCUACUUUGUGGUUACGGUGCCGUUUAUACGAAGCAGAGUAGUUCUGCUCUGUGAUCCGGUCACACUCGAGUUGUCUGGAGAUAAGCAAUAUGGUCCCUUGUGUCCCCUAUCCUUAGACUCACAUCUGCAGCCGACGGCCUGAGGGUCAGAGAGAUCCACGUGCUCACCAGUGGGAACUCCCACCAAGGGCUAAAAACAGAACCUCCAACAGCAAGAACUGAUUUAAAAAGCAAAACAAAGGAACCAUAAUAAAACAGCUCAAGGCUGAGAGUCAGGAACAUUCUUCAUCCCGUAUCUGGAAGACUUCUUCAUCCAACCAAGAUACUGGAUCAACACGGUUGUCAAGUGACAACUCUGGGGGACGAUAUGGCCCCAAAGCCAGUCAGACUUAGUUGCCUCUUUCCUUGCUGUCAUGGACUCUCUACCUUACGACUUAUUUCUGUAUUUUGGACGUGAUUAUUUUAAUGACGAUUCACCAAAAAUUUUGUGCUUUUAUGUAAGAAGUUUUAAAGAAAGAAUAGAUGACCAUUGAGACUUUCACUCCUGGUCAUCUGAAGCAAAAAUAUAAAAAUAGAGGCCUCUCCCUUGACUAUUACUGUCAUUAAUGAAGACUAGGCUUUCAAUAAAAGAUAAAGCACUGUUUUGGGUAAUACUUUACCUAAAACUUAGCACAUUAGGGGACUAACAUCUACAACUAGCCUUAGAUCCAUUCCAACAAUUUAAAUAAUUUUUAGCACAAAAUAUGUAUAUUGCUGGAAACAGCUAUCUCUUUAGUCCCACUGAUACAAAAAACAGAAAGGAGUAACUUCAAGGGCUCAAAAAUAUAAAACGGAUUGGGACCAACUAGAGUUUAAAUAUGCAUGAAGGGGGAACUCCCUGGAGGUCCGGUGGUUGGGACUCCACACUCUCACUGCCAAUCCUUGGCUGGGGAACUAGAUCCUGCAAGCCGCACGGCGUGGCCAAUAAGUAAAUAAAUAUGUACAAAGAAUCAGAAAACUAUGUUUUGUUUAAACACAUGAAGCCCAGUGAGAUCAGGUAACUUGCCCAAGGUCCCUCAGCUGCUGUGAGAACUGGACGCCAGUGUCCUUUUGAAGAUUUUACUGAAAUUAAUUCAUUUCACUUUCACAGAUAAGGAAACUAAAGCAACUGAGAUGGGUAAGUAAUUGGCCUGAAGUCCAAAGCUGGGACUGGAUCUAACCAGGCCGUUCACCUGCAGGGCCCACGCUUUCGUCAACUGUGCUCCCCUAACGCUCAAGCCCAAGGCUCCCCCCAACCCCAGACUUCCACACUGGUGCUUUUUCCUCAGUUUACAGCAAGAAGCAAAUGGAAAAGGUUAUUCUUGGUGUUUUCGUCAAGCAAAUACACAAAGAUAUAUUCAUGAAACCCUUCAAAGAAAAAGGGAAGUAGAGAAGAAACAAAUACGGAGGUAAAGGGACUCUUGUAGAAUAAACGUAAGAUAAAAUGUAAGCGUAACCUUGGUUUUAGUGGUAGGAACGAAGUAAAAACAGCUUGGAGAUCACUCAAAGAACCAUUUCAAAGUGUGCGGCAGUGCUUCACCACGUCUGUAUUAACCACAUUUGCUUCGAGUUUUGUUUUGGUUCACACCAGUUACAAAUUAUUCUGCCACUUCAAGCAGUGUUUCACACACAGGGUCACAGCGGCCAAUGAACUUAACUGUUCCAGCCGAGGACACCGGGGCCAACUCCCAAGACCCCACUCCCUGGUAGCUCAGAGACCCACGUCCCCUGGAGUGUACCAGCCAACCCGUAUCAUUACGAUCUCUCUCUCAAGUAUUCACCGGAAAAGACAAACACAGAUACCUUGCUUCUCUACAUUCAGUCAAACAGGGUACUAACGACCAAAUGCCUCUUAGAUCGCUAUUAACCUAAAAUAAGAAAAGAGAGGGAAUUCCCUGGUGGUCCAGUGGUCAAGACUCCACACUUUCACCACCAAGGGCCCGGGUUCGAUCCCUGGUCGGGGAACGAAGACCCACAAGCCUUGAGGCGCAGCCAAAAAAAUAAAAAUAAAACAAAAACAACAAAAAACCCCAAAGAAAAUACUGUGAGAGAGACUCAGAGAAGUAACUUUCCACCUAAUGUGAUGACCAAGACCACAAAGAAUACAUUUUAAACACAGUGCAGUACACACGCACACUCACACAUAAAAUAAACAGAUCUCAUUAAACACUAAACCAAACCCUUACUACACUGAAACUACUUCAGUUGCAAAACCCACUUAACUGAUUUUAGAUCACAAACUAUGUGUCACCUCCCACACUCUGUUCUAACCAGUUCUGACCUAAAAGUUCCCAAGAGUCAGUCUUCAAACGUCCUUGAUGAAAACAAACAUAAACUUUUUGAGGUCUGCAGUUCUUAAAACAGAAAUGAGAAGCUUCAAGUCGGAAAAAAUAGACAAAAAUUUAUUUAUUUAUUUUUGGUACGUGGGCCUCUCAC